GAAAUCAGUUUUUACUUAUUAUACACAUGCAAGUAUCCGCCCCCCUGUGAAAACGCCCUUAAACUCCUAUUAGGAAUAAGGAGCUGAUAUCAGGCUCAAUUCUUAGCCCAAAACAUCUAGCUAUGCCACACCCACAAGGGAAUUCAGCAGUGAUUAACAUUGGAUAUAAGCGACAGCUUGAUCCAGCUAAAGUAAAAAGAGCCGGCAAAUCUGGUGCCAGCCGCCGCGGUUACACCAUGUGGCUCAAAUUGACAUCUUUCGGCGUAAAGCGUGAUUUAAGAGACUAAAAAAUAUAGUUAAACUAGAAUUAAGCUGUGACACGCCUGUUUCUAAGAAAAACAACAACGAAAGUCA
rnacentral:rRNA from 1 species